UUCACACGUUAAAAAUGUUGACGCAUGCCAUCCAUACUCAAGAUUGGAGGGGAUACAAUAGCAUUUGAACCGGCGCGGUAGUGAUAAUAGAGGUGGUACAUGCGGAGACAGCCGAAGGGCUCGUGCGGAUAAUUCUGAUAAGUCUCUUAAUUCAUACAUGCCGUGGAACAAGUAAGAGGUGUUUACGUUCACGUAUAUUAGCUAGCUGACAAAGCAGAUUGGUGCUACAGCUUCGGAGAAAAUUCGAUCGCGAACGGUUACGGUUUGGUUGGUAAUCCCUAAGGAGAACUUGCGUUCCCAACUGAUGCUCCAGCUAGGCGACGGUCUAUCGUUUACAAGAAACUCGGACCUGUAAUCACUUGCUUUGACGUUACCGUCUACGGCUCAGUGGACGAAUUGCGAAAAAUUAUCGCAGACAAGGAGACGCACACUAACAACAGAAUCGAAAUUACAUGACCGAUGGUGAUUGCACUCACAACUGCCGCUUUCUAUCAAUUUGAGGCAUAACAACU